GUGAGAAAGGGUGAAAGUAGAAGGAGUCCUGCACCGGGAGAGAGAGCGUGUGUGUGUGUGUGUAUGUGCAAAAGUGGCAGGCUGUUUCUCUCCUCACUCCUCUCUCUUUUUUCUCCUUCUUUUGUUCUCUGAAAUGGCUGAAUCUGUGAGAAGGUGGCUGAAGUGACUGAAUGCAGAAACAGGAUGAGGCUGACAAACUCAACUCAGAAAGUAAUAAAAAAAAAUAAGCAAGAGCUGAAGAAACAAUGAGAAGGUGUGGAGCUAAACAUAUGACUGUGGGUGUGCCCAAAAAGUGCAGAGGAAAAAAGGGAACACGGAGAGGCAACUUUGCUGGGAGGAAAGGAGAAAGAAGAUACCAGCACAGGGAUUCCCAGGAUUCAUAAAGCACAGACCAUAUCAGUCUUUAUGAUUUUUAUACAAAUUUCGCCAGCGGAAUCGGCCUAGUCCGCCCCCCGAGCCUAUCUCUGUGUGACGGCCGAGGGAAGACUGAAUGCUCCUUUUCGGACCGCACUGGUCAGUACCACGCAUGCCACCUCACGCCACCUUCCUCUGCCGCUUCUCUCUCUCUAUCAUGUUGUCUGUCGCUUUCUCUCUCUCUCUCUCUCUCUCUCUCUCUCUCUCUCUCUCUCUCUCAGUCCUCUGGCUUUUUGUGUGUUGGACUGAGCAUCCCAGGAGGCAGCGUGGCCUCCAUCGUCCAGAGAAGCGAGGGACUGGUCAAAGCCCACCUGUUCAGCAUUUACAAAGAAGGAACAAAGAAUGACAAGUCUAUAGUACGUUAAAUCUCCCGAGUCUUAUUAAAGGAGCCCCUUUUUUUCUUUUCAUGGCUGUGGAGUAACUCCAGUCAGCUUUUUUUUGGUUGAAUCGUCUGUGAAUUAGGAGAAGAAAUGGUCUAACUAUUUUAAAAAAUGUUUGCAUGACUUAAUCUUUGCUAUAGUCACUAAAAUCAUUUCGUUCUCUAAUCUCUUCGACUGUUCCAACGAUCUUCUUUCCCAGCUGUGAGCUCCGAAAAGGUUUCUUCUUGCAUUCGUUCUCUCUCUCUCUCUCUCUCUCUCUCUCUACUUAACCCCCCUCCAUCCAACCCUCUCCGUCAACGAAAGUCUUUUCAUAAUGAAUGGCAAGGUACGAUAAUAGCCUUGCGGUUUCCAUAGAAACCAGACAGUAGCCCUGUGUGUAUGGCAUACAUCCCCCCCCCUCCUUUUUUUUCUUCCCUCCUUUUUUUUUCUUCAAGGGGGCAAAUGAUAGUGGAAUGUGAGGCAAAACACCUCCCUCUCUCCUUCCUUCCCUCCUUCUUACUCCGUGUACUCAUUGCACUGUAUUCCCUUUUCCCCUUCAGCCUCUCAGAAUUUUUACUCAUUCCCUUUUCUUGUUUUGUUUCCUGUUUUUAUUUGGAUGUUCUGAAGUUGUCAUAAAAUAAAGUAUGAACUGAACUGACUUAAUAGAAUUGAAACGACCUCUUUACGUUCAAGGUAAAAAAAAAAAAAACCCAACCAAACAAACAAAAACGUGUCUGUGUUUUUCUUUCCAUGGAUUCUAUAGCAAAAUGUAAAA